rnacentral:rRNA from 1 species
GACGAACGCUGGCGGCGUGCUUAAUACAUGCAAGUCAACUUGACUUUAGAUAGCAAUAUCGAAAAGUAGGGUGGCGCACGGGUGCGUAACGCGUAGGCAAUCUGCCCUGAGGUCUGACAUAACCCGUCGAAAGGCGGGCUAACAUCAGAUGAUAUAUAAUCACGACAUCGUGGAAAUAUCAAAUCUUCGGAGCCUUGGGAUGAGCCUGCGUCUGAUUAGGUAGUUGGCGGAGUAAUAGCCCACCAAGCCUACGAUCAGUAGCUGGUCUGAGAGGAUGAUCAGCCACACUGGAACUGAGACACGGUCCAGACUCCUACGGGAGGCAGCAGUAAGGAAUAUUGCUCAAUGGGGGAAACCCUGAAGCAGCAACGCCGCGUGAAGGAUGAAAUACUUUUGAUGUAAACUUCUGUAAGAUGGGAAAAAUAUUCUCCUCGGGAGAAUUGAUUGUACCAUCAGAGUAAGCCCCGGCUAACUACGUGCCAG